rnacentral:rRNA from 1 species
GCUCAACUGUGGAACUGCCAUUGAUACUGCUUUUCUUGAGUUUGGUUGAGGUAGGCGGAAUGUGUAAUGUAGCGGUGAAAUGCUUAGAUAUUACACAGAACACCGAUUGCGAAGGCAGCUUACUAAACCGAUACUGACGCUGAUGCACGAAAGCGUGGGGAGCGAACAGGAUUAGAUACCCUGGUAGUCCACGCUGUAAACUAUGAUCACUCGCUGUUGGCAAUACAUCGUCAGCGGCUGAGCGAAAGCAUUAAGUGAUCCACCUGGGGAGUACGGUCGCAAGAUUGAAACUCAAAGGAAUUGACGGGGGCCCGCACAAGCGGUGGAACAUGUGGUUUAAUUCGAUGAUACGCGAGGAACCUUACCUGGGCUUAAAUGUAGACUGCAUUUCCGGGAAACCGGAAUUUCCUUCGGGACCGUCUACAAGGUGCUGCAUGGUUGUCGUCAGCUCGUGCCGUGAGGUGUCGGGUUAAGUCCCAUAACGAGCGCAACCCCUAUCGUUAGUUGCCAGCGAGUAAUGUCGGGGACUCUAGCGAAACUGCCGGUGUAAACCGAGAGGAAGGUGGGGAUGACGUCAAAUCAGCACGGCCCUUAUGUCCAGGGCUACACACGUGUUACAAUGGUCAGUACAAAGGGCAGCUACCUGGUGACAGGAUGCUAAUCUCGAAAACUGGUCUCAGUUCGGAUUGGAGUCUGCAAUUCGACUCCAUGAAGCUGGAAUCGCUAGUAAUCGCGCAUCAGCAACGGCGCGGUGAAUACGUUCCCGGGCCUUGUACACACCGCCCGUCAAGCCAUGGAAGCUGGGGGUGCCUGAAGUCCGUAACCGAAAGGAUCGGCCUAGGGUAAAACCGGUGACUGGGGCUAAGUCGUAACAAGGUAACC